UGUCUAUUCUUUUUUACAGUCUAUGGUAAGGACGGUCGAAUUGGGCAAAUGCUGCUGAAGCUCUAGUUCACUAACUGCAUAGAGAUCUAACAGUUGACCCCAUGAAAGGUUAAGGAUUAGUUGCUAGUGUUAGUACUUAGAGGCUACAAUUUAGUGGUUUCGGAUGCAGCCACAGUGUCAUUGUAAUUAGGAGUGGAAUAUUCUCGUGUUAUUUGAAGUAAUGUGACGAGACAGGGGUCUUUAUUGAUUUUUAUUCAAAAAUGUUUUUUUAUGGACACCACCAAGCCCUCAAAACCAUGCUCAAACCCGCACACCAGUUCCUGAAUCAGGCACGUGGUACGGUGCUUCAGGAAGGUUCAAAUCGUCAUUGUGUACGUCACCAACACACGCUCCGAACCACGCGCCGCCUCUGCCUCCCCCUUAUUGCUCGACACACGCUUCGACACGAACGUAACAUCACUAGGUCACGGAAAUCGGGAAGCUCUAUCCCAGACCAUGGAGGUUGCGACUGCUCCAAGCGUCUGCUCCAGGGUCUGGACAGAGACUGUUCAGGAAGUGUCCAUGGGUAAGUGUUGGCUCAGGUCGAGACUAGGGCUGCACAAUAUUGCAAGUUAUUUGGAGAUAUUAAACAAGGUCUAUAUUAAAGGAAUAGGCCAUCGUUUUUACAUGCUAAGCUAUGUUCUUAGCUUAGACGAGUUCAUUUGUACCUGUCUGAGCUCCACGUGUGCCUUCAGUAACGUAAACACAGCACAGACAGCGUUAGCAUUUAGCCUCUCUCCUCUCCUCUAUAGCUCCAAACGAGGUGAAGAUAGAAGCUACCAAACUCUUCCACGUUUUCCCUAUUUAAAUAUGGUUACGUGAAGCGUUACACUACAAAGUAUAAUUACACAAAAUUAAACAGUGGAUUUUCUAAGCGGAUAAAAAGGGAACUAUAUUGUAAGGCGUAAUAAUACCAGGAGUAAUUCAUUCAUUCAUUCAUUUACUUAUUUAUUUCAGGCAGAAGGCAACAAAAGAAGACUAUACAGCAGGGGUCACGAAUUAAAUUUCACCAAGGUCCGAAAUGAAAAAAAAUGGUCAAGCAAAGGUCCGGAACAUACGGGGUUAAUUCACGGUUAUAUCA
rnacentral:lncRNA from 1 species